CAAAUUUUCCAAGGCAGAGAGAUUGCUACAUGGUAGUAAAACCACAUUUGUAUUUCUGUUAACAGCCUAAGAACCUUCCCCUCUAGGAGAAAGCCCCAGGCCCACACUAACUUGACUGUUUCUUUAAAUGUUAUGCAGCUCCUACUAUAUUACAAUGCGGAACAGAUGGAAGAACAUAAAGCAGAUGCAGAUCUGCAGUCUAAAUAGAGAUGAACAAUUCUUCAGUUAACAACAAGAAGAUGAGGUGGUGGCACAGACGACAUGGAAAAGAAGCAGUUUACACCGGAGAGAAGUUCCUGGGAAACGCAGACAUUAUCACAACUGAACAGAGCAUAGAGAUUGCAUCUUGGCAUUUGAAAUGACAUUCCCUUGUGUCUCCCUGGUGUACAAAAUAGGCCUCCGCGGGAUACCCAGGAGGAAAGCUAAAGGAAAUCUGAAGUCUUCAGAGCCAUCAAUAGGUAAAGUGGUUGGAAGCAACAGACCCAGGGUUUCAAUGGACUUCUAGAAUAGAGUUCGGUCACUGUAUUUCCCAUACCAGGGGGAGGCACCCAAAUAAUCUUAACCAAAGAUAAGAGGAAAAAGAGAUGAUUUCUCCCGACCGGUUUUUAACUUCAUUUUCUUUGAAUCAUUUUAAAUCUCUGGGCGUUUAUGAACUCAUCCCAAAGUAGCAAGAAUGGUACCAGGAACUCACAUGAAUCACACCCCUAUUCCAAUAACCAUCAAUGGCUGCCACCCUUGCUCAUCUCUGAUUUCCUCUCCACAUAUUUUUCUUGAUAGUGUAAAGCAAUCUUGAUAAAGUGCUUUUUUCUAGUUUCCCUGUCAAACAUGCCUACAUCCUAUCGUUGAUUCUGGGGAGAACAGUUGCCAAGUGUUAAACACAGAAUCCUUCAAAAGGAAAGCACUGUUCAACCUAUGAUCAUUUUAAUUCCUACAUGUGGACACAUAAAAACAAUGGCAGAGGGUGUGAAAAGAUGAGACUUUCACCGUCAAAUGUGGCAGCAUAACAAAAUAGAACAGGAAAAUUGGUGCUUUUAGGCUUCUGGCAUUGUUUUAAGUACGAGCUCUUGGGAAAUGUAAAACCCUUCAGACAUACAUUGAACUGAAGUCACAGAAAUUCUGUUCUGAGGCACAGAGACAUGUAUCCCAGAAAAGAAAUUUAUUAGUGAAAUCAAUCCACAUGUUUCAGGGCUGGCUUUUUACUGCAGCCUUACCCUAAAUGCAACCAAAAGAUGAGGGGAAAAAAGACACGGCUCCUAGCUUCAAUGAAGUUAAGACUUCCUAGCAACUGCAAGAGAAAGACCUCAGCAACCAUAAAGAGGAGCAUAUGUAAAUAUACAACAAAGAGUUUUAUAUGUAAAUGCUUAGGGGAUGCUGAAUAAUUGGUCUUGCUCAGAGGCGCACCAGCGUGUGAGGCUGGGGAGAUGGAAAUAAAGCCUGGGCUCUCAGUGGAGGCGUUGACAGCAAACGUAUAAACAUAAUUCUUAAAAGGCUCGCCAUAAAUGAAAAAAGCACCGACCACUCCUGGUCUAAGCCAGGAGGAGAUGGUUUUCAUCAUGUAAUCUGAAACUUCCUGCCCUUUGUGAAAGCUAAAGCCAUCUUCCAUUGCAAUGGGAAGAGUCCUACAUUCUGUUGUUUCCUAAUCUAAGUUUUGGUUUUAUAUUUGGUUUAAGUCCAACUUUUUUGCUUUGUUCCUGAUGGACACCUGCAAAAAGCAACACAAUCUUCUAGUUAGCUCUCUAUCCAUAAGGCAACUGGUUCCUGGGUAACCACCCCCAUUGCUUUGGUUCUGUGGUGUCUUUGCAAGACACACCCUGACACAUCCUCCUCCACCUCAAGUUCCUCCCAAGUUCCACUAAACAGCGUUCUCAGAUCCUGGACUUCUGGCCAUCGUUGACGAAAUUCUCCUCAUGUUUUGAUUUAAUGACUUUGAUAAUCAUAUUGGAGUAAUCUUUCAGAUUCUUUUUUUGUGUGUGUGUGUGCCAUUUCUAGAGCCACUCCCGCGGCAUAUGGAGAUUCCCAGGCUAGGGGUCGAAUCGGAGCUGUAGCCGCCAGCCUACACCACACCCAUAACAACGCGGGAUCCGAGCCACGUCUGCAGCCUACACCACAGCUCACGGCAACGCUGGAUCCUUAACCCACUGAGCAAGGGCAGGGAUCGAAUGCACAGUCUCAUGAUUCCUAGUCAGAUUCGUUAACCACUGAGCCAUGACGGGAACUCCUGGAGAAACAUUCUGCAAACCCUGGUGACCCAUCACAAAGUCUUCAAGAUCCUCCUAGCUGGUGGUUUGCUAAAGCCAGUUAGGAUAAGUGCUAGAGUGACAGCAACAGUGCUGUGCUAUGCGCAGGAGUGAGCCAGGUGAAGGCAGAGGGCCAGGGGAAGCCAGAAAAUGAAGGAAAUGCCUGACAGUGAGAACAAGAAUGUCUGGUCCUGCUUUCUGUGUGUCCCCAGAGUGAUUCUGAGACAUAGCGACCUUCCCCUCAGCUUUUCCUACGUGUUUGGAGAAUUGCUGGAGAAGGGAAUGAUGGAGAAAUUUUGUGGACCUGACAGCAUCACAAGAGAAGGUCUUAAAUGGAAACAGAACUGUCCUUGGUAGACAGGAAAGGACCACAGACAGAAUAAGGUUAAUUCCAUGGGUAGCUCCUAUGACCUCCACUAUAUUGCUUCUCACAUGGCCACUGGAAGUUUUAUUAUCCUGCAAAGGGCAGGGCUCGGGGAAUGUUGCUCAGUUACUUCCGAUGGUGAUUAGCUGAGGGAGUGGAGGUGGCCUGCAAGGAGGCAUUUUCAUAAUGAGAACAUCCUGAAUGUAGUUAUCCUGGCACUAUUAGCACUCCUCAACUUGCCAAAUAUCCCCAACUCUCCUUUGGACUUGGACAUCUUCAAAACGUCCACGACUGGCUAAAUGAUUAGGACUUGGCCCGACAGCUCCUGGUGGCUAAUUGGUAAAGCAAUAUCUCAAAAAGUAUUCGUCUUUAAUGAUGGGCAUUUGACACCUUUAUGUAGGUUUUAAGAGCUAGUACAUACAUGUUCACUAGACAUCCACUGGAGCCAGAUGGCAGCCUGCAACAGGGAGAACAACCUGGGCACCAUGGGGCAUUACUUCUCUAUUUAUUUAAGAAUGGCAAGACAUACUGCUGAAGGCUUGUUUUAUAAGCUGGGGCUAGAAAUUCAGGCGUCUAGGCCGGAGAGAAGAUAGUCUUAAAGGGGGGGCGUGGAGGACCAUCCAAGGGCAGACAGAAUCCAAAGAGCAGGGAAAGAGAGAGAGUCCAAACCAGUCCUUCCGAUGUCAGAAGGAAAAUCAAAGUCAUAAAAGAGUGCAUUGGUUGUGGGCCCUCGCUCUCACCCGUGAGUCAGCUGGAACCAGAAGCCCUCUCUUUGGGUCCCUUCAGUCAUUUAACUCAACGCUUACUUAGAAUCUAUUAGCGGAACAAGUGAUACGGAUCAGACUCGGAGCAGGUUCAUGGGCACUUAAGUGGUCUCUGAAUGGGCUUCUGGGACUCCCUGCUUCUCCUAAAGUGUGUGGGAAAUCUGUACACAGGAAUUUUUCUGAAGAGCAGGUCCACUGUUUUAAUGAGAUUAAAAGCCUUGUGACCAGAAAAAGGGAAAGCCCCUUGGCGCUCCCUUUCUGAGACUGUAAGGUGGGCAAAAUAAAAGACACGCGGGUAAGAGAGAGGGGCCACCCCCUCUCCCAGCCUGGCCUUUUUAAGUAAGAGGCAUAUACCGUUUCCUUCUGAAGAAGGGGUAAGGAGCUCCUUAAACUCCAGAAUUUUUCAGGUCUUACAAUGUCUCGAUGCUCAGGAAUUAAUCUGUACUGUCUGUAAGAUCAAAAAGUGUCCUAAAGAAAUACAACCAAGAGUGGCAGAUAAACAAAAGCAGAUAAAAGGGAGAUGUUCCAAGAAGGCCGAGACCAACUGGAUCCUAUCAUCCCUAAGUGAGGGGACAUCAUUUCAUCAGCUUCCGACCAAGGCGGCACGUCCACAGCAUGUGGACAGAGCGGUUUGCUGGGAAAGAUGCACAGACGGGGAUCAGCACUGUCUGUACCUCUCACCUCUGGCGGUGGAGACAGAUGCGCUCAUUAAUUUGGCUUUUCGGUACGUUUUUCCAUCUUAUCUUUGUUAAUCAGUUUGAAAUCUAUGUAUAAUAUACAGAUUUUAAGUCACAGGUAUCUAGGCCUAAUUUUAUUAUUUGUUCACAUUUUGGCUGGGCCUGAGUAUGUGGAAAUUCCUGGGCCAGGGACUGAAGCCUCGUCAUGGCAGAAGCCUGGGCUGCUGCAGUCAUAGUACUGGAUACUUAACCCACUGCACCACCGAGGAACUCCUAGGCCUGAUUUUAAAGAAUUGAAUAGCAAGCACUCUAAGAUGUGCUAUAAGAAACCUCCUACACUCUUCCUCUGCCCUCUCCCUAACUCUCUCUUCCCUCAUCUCAUUAUUUUGGCAUUCAGAUAUCUCUAAAUGAUAUACUUACAUUGCUGCUGAAAUUUUUUUCAAACUUUAAAAAGGUCAAUUUCCCAUGGAAAUUGUAGAGGGCUUGGAUCCUGCGGUGGCUGUGGUGUAGGCCCGUGGCUACAGCUCCAGUUCAACCCCCUAGCCUGGGAACCUCCAUAUGCUGCUGCUUCGGCCCUUAAAAAAAAAGUUUACUCCAUCCUCAGUUUUGGAUAGUAUUUAUUUAUUUAUUUAUUUCUUCUUUUCUAGGGCCGCACCCUCGGCAUAUGUAGGUUCCCAGGCUAGGGGUCUAAUCGGAGCUGUAGCCGCCGGCUUACACCACAGCCACAGCAACACAGGAUCUGAGGCGCAUCUGAGACCCACACCACAGCUCACAGCAAUGCCAGAUCC
rnacentral:lncRNA from 1 species